rnacentral:rRNA from 1 species
GAUGAACGCUGGCGGCGUGCCUAAUACAUGCAAGUCGAGCGAACGGACGAGAAUCUUGCUUCUCUGAUGUUAGCGGCGGACGGGUGAGUAACACGUGGAUAACCUACCUAUAAGACUGGGGUAACUUCGGGAAACCGGAGCUAAUACCGGAUAAUAUUUUGAAUCGCAUGGUUCAAAAGUGAAUGAAGGUCUUGCUGUCACUUAUAGAUGGAUCCGCGCUGCAUUAGCUAGUUGGUAAGGUAACGGCUUACCAAGGCAACGAUGCAUAGCCGACCUGAGAUGGGGGUCUGCCACACUAGAACUGAGCCACGGUACGGACUACAACGGGAGGCAGCACAAGGGAAUCUACCGUAAUGGGAUAAAGCCUGACGUGACCAAGCCGCGCGAGUGAUGAAGGUAUUCGGAUAUGAAAACUCUGCUAUUAGGAAAGAACAUAUAUGUAAGUAACGUUGGACUUGUUGACGGUACCGAAUCAGAAAGCACCGGCUAACUACGUG